rnacentral:ncRNA from 1 species
CUUCUAACCUCGACCCGUAAUCCGGGUCAGGGACAUUGUCUGGUGGGUAGUUUGACUGGGGCGGUCGCCUCCUAAAGAGUAACGGAGGCGCGCGAUGGUUCCCUCAGGCUGAUUGGAAACCAGCCGUAGAGUGUAAAGGCAUAAGGGAGCUUAACUGCGAGAGAGACAUUUCGAGCAGGUACGAAAGUAGGUCUUAGUGAUCCGGCGAUUCCGCAUGGAAGGGUCGUCGCUCAACGGAUAAAAGGUACUCCGGGGAUAACAGGCUUAUCUCCCCCAAGAGUUCAUAUCGACGGGGAGGUUUGGCACCUCGAUGUCGGCUCAUCGCAUCCUGGGGCUGGAGCAGGUCCCAAGGGUUUGGCUGUUCGCCAAUUAAAGCGGUACGCGAGCUGGGUUUAAAACGUCGUGAGACAGUUUGGUCCUUAUCUGCUGUGGGCGUAGGAUAUUUGAGGGGAUCUGUUCCUAGUACGAGAGGACCGGGAUGGACGAACCACUGGUGUUCCUGUUGUCGCGCCAGCGGCAAUGGCAGGGUAGCCACGUUCGGCAGGGAUAACCGCUGAAAGCAUCUAAGCGGGAAGCCCACCCCAAGAUAAGAUAUCCCGUGGGUUAAUCCCCACCUGAAGGCUCGUCAUAGACCAUGACGUUGAUAGGCCGGGUGUGGAAGUGUGGCAACACAUGGAGCUUACCGGUACUAAUUAGCCGUGCGGCUUGACCAU